rnacentral:lncRNA from 1 species
UUCGUCCGCCGGACUCGGAAUGGCCCCAGACUUUGCGGGCAGCUUCCGUGUGCCAAAAAUAGGCCACGGGUACAGCCGCGCCAAAAAAUGAGCGCCCGAAGGUCGGGGCGCCAACACCCCCCAGCGGAAAAAUGGCCAAAAAACGGGUGGGCUAUAGCCUUGGUGGGGCCCGUGGGCGACGUUCGUCCGCCGGACUCGGAAUGGCCCCAGACAUUGCGGGCGGCCUCCGUGUACCAAAAAUAGGCCACGGGCAGAGCCGCGCCCAACAAUGAGCUCCCGAAGGUCGGGGCGCCAACACCCCCCAGCGGAAAAAUGGCCAAAAAACGGGUGGGCUAUAGCCUUGGCGGGGGGCAUGGGCGAAGUUCGUCCGCCGAACUCGAAAUGGCCCCAGACUUUGCGGGCGGCCUCCGUGUGCCAAAAUUAGGCCACGGGCACAGCCGCGCCCGAAGGUCGGGGCGCCAACACCCCCCAGCGGAAAAAUGGCCAAAAAACGGGUGGGCUAUAGCCUUGGCGGGGGGCAUGGGCGAAGUUCGUCCGCCGAACUCGGAAUGGCCCCAGAGUUUGCGGGCGGCCUCCGUGUGCCAAAAAUAGGCCACGGGCACAGCCGUGCCCAAAAAUGAGCGCCCAAAGGUCGGGGCGCCAACAGCCCCCAGCGGAAAAAUGGCCAAGAAACGGGUGUGCUAUAGCCUUGGUGGGGGGCGUGGGCGAAGUUCGUCCGGUGGACUCGGAAUGGCCCCAGACUUUGUGGGCGGCCUCCGUGUGCCAAAAAUAAGCCACGGGCACUGCCACGCCCAAAAAUGAGCGCCCGAAGGUCGGGGCACCAACACCCCCCAGCGGAAAAAUGGCCCAAAAACGGGUGGGCUGUAGCCUUGGUGGGGGGCGCGGGCGAAGUUCGUCCGCCGGACUCGGAAUGCGGCGAGACUUUGCGAGGGGCCUCGGGGUGCCAAAAAUAAGCCGCGGGCAAAGCCGCACCCAAAAAUAAGCGCCCGAAGGUCGUGGUGCCAAAACCCCCCAGCGGAGAAACGGCCAAAAAACGGGUGUGCUAUAGCCUUGGUGGGGGGCGUGGGCGAUGUUCGUCCGCCGGACUCGGAAUGGCCCCAGCCUUUGCGGGCGACCUCCGUUUUCCAAAAAUAGGCCACGGGCACAGCCGCGCCCAAAAAUGAGCAUCCGAAGGUUGGGGCGCCAACACCCCCCAGCGGAAAAAUGGCCAAAAAACGUGUGGGCUAUAGCCUUGGUGGGGGGCGUGGGCGAAGUUCGUCCGCCGGACUCGGAAUGGCCCCAGACUUUGCGGGCGGACUCCGUGUGCCAAAAAUAGGCCACGGGCACAGCCGCGCCCAAAAAUGAGCGCCCGAAGGUCGGGGCGCCAACACCCCCCAGCGGAAAAAUGGCAAAGAAACGGGUGUGCUAUA